UACGUAGGGUGCAAGCGUUGUCCGGAAUCAUUGGGCGUAAAGCGCGCGUAGGCGGCCCGAUAAGUCCGCUGUAAAAGUCAACGGCUCAACUGUUGAAAGCCGGUGGAUACUGUCGGGCUAGAGUACGGAAGAGGCAAGUGGAAUUCCGCGUGUAGCAGUGAAAUGCGUAGAGAUGCGGAGGAACACCGAUGGCGAAGGCAGCCCCCUGGGCUAGCACUGACGCUCAGGCACGAAAGCGUGGGGAGCAAACAGG
rnacentral:rRNA from 1 species